GCCUGGGUGGCUCAGUUGGUUAAGCGUCUGACUUCAGCUCAGGUCACAAUUUCACGAUUUGUGGGUUUGAGCCCUGCAUCUGGCU
rnacentral:tRNA from 1 species